rnacentral:lncRNA from 1 species
AUGGGAGUAGAAAACAGUGUUAUUCAGUGGACCUUUAUCCAGAGAACAGGCAAGAGAGGAGAUAGAUUGGGGAGCAGGGAGAAGGAUAUGGAAGAAUCACAGGCAUCUAGCCUCGACCUGGAAGAAAGGCAGGGUAACAGACCAUGUAGGAUAGUCUGGGAGAGGAAUCAUAGUUGGGAAGAGGAUGACGAGCUUAGUAUUGGAUGUGUUGCAUUGGGAUUGAAAAUCUACACACCUGCAAAGUCCCUUUUGCCACAUCAUCGGAAGAAACAAAAACAAGCUGUGGUGAAGAAGAAACGUUUUCUAAAGCCUCUUUUAUCCCCAGGAUGGUUGAGAAGUCAGAGGCCUGCAAUGCUAGGAAGAGAGGGUCUAAAGUGUCCUUUUCACCGUGAUGUAAGUAGGCUCUCCAGCAGUCCCAGAAGACUUUCACAAGAAGAGUUUCAACAACAGAAAAUAAGCCUAAGUGAUUGUGUGAAUAUCACAGAGCAACAGAGAAAAUGUAGAUCACUCCAGUUCUAGCACAAGGUCGGGGAGGAAAAAGAAUCAGAGAGUUUGGAAUUUCUAAAUGCUCGUGUUUGAGAAAUGGGGAGCAUCACAAACUAACAGCAGAGGUGGACAUUUUUUACAGGGUAAAGGAUUCCCAUGGAACACCACUCGUCAAAUGCAAAUAAAAAUUGUACAAAGAAGGUAACUUCUUUCUCUGUCCCCACAUCUCUCCAUCUGAAACUUCAUUCUUCCAUUAAAACAGAAUUGUGCUUUGUGAU